CCUACGGGAGGCAGCAGUGGGGAAUUUUGGACAAUGGGCGCAAGCCUGAUCCAGCAAUGCCGCGUGCAGGAUGAAGGCCUUCGGGUUGUAAACUGCUUUUGUACGGAACGAAACGGUUCUUUCUAAUAAAGAGAGCUAAUGACGGUACCGUAAGAAUAAGCACCGGCUAACUACGUGCCAGCAGCCGCGGUAAUACGUAGGGUGCGAGCGUUAAUCGGAAUUACUGGGCGUAAAGCGUGCGCAGGCGGUUAUAUAAGACAGAUGUGAAAUCCCCGGGCUCAACCUGGGACCUGCAUUUGUGACUGUAUAGCUAGAGUACGGUAGAGGGGGAUGGAAUUCCGCGUGUAGCAGUGAAAUGCGUAGAUAUGCGGAGGAACACCGAUGGCGAAGGCAAUCCCCUGGACCUGUACUGACGCUCAUGCACGAAAGCGUGGGGAGCAAACAGGAUUAGAUACCCUGGUAGUCCACGCCCUAAACGAUGUCAACUGUNUUGGGUCUUNACUGACUCAGUAACGAAGCUAACGCGUGAAGUUGACCGCCUGGGGAGUACGGCCGCAAGGUUUGAAACCUUAANAGAGUAGUACGACGCGAGAGAGACGACGACGACGACGAGGAGGAGGAGG
rnacentral:rRNA from 1 species